UACAGAGGUCCCGAGCGUUGUUCGGAUUCAUUGGGCGUAAAGGGUGCGUAGGCGGCGGGGCAAGUCUGAUGUGAAAUCCCGGGGCUCAACCCCGGAACUGCAUUGGAUACUGCCUUGCUAGAGUACUGGAGAGGGAACUGGAAUUUACGGUGUAGCAGUGAAAUGCGUAGAGAUCGUAAGGAAGACCAGUGGCGAAGGCGAGUUUCUGGACGGUAACUGACGCUGAGGCACGAAGGCCAGGGGAGCAAACGGG
rnacentral:rRNA from 1 species